rnacentral:rRNA from 1 species
GCAACGCGAAGAACCUUACCCAGGCUUGAACUGCGAGUGACAUCCUACGAAAGUAGGCUUCCGCAAGGACACUCGUAGAGGUGCUGCAUGGCUGUCGUCAGCUCGUGUCGUGAGAUGUUGGGUUAAGUCCCGCAACGAGCGCAACCCUUGUCUUCUGUUGCCAUCGAGUUAUGCCGGGCACUCUGAAGAGACUGCCGGUGACAAACCGGAGGAAGGUGGGGAUGACGUCAAGUCAGCAUGGCCUUUAUGUCUGGGGCAACACACGUGCUACAAUGGCCGGUACAAACCGUCGCGAUCUCGUGGGAGGGAGCUAAUCGGAGAAAGCCGGUCUCAGUUCGGAUUGUAGGCUGCAACUCGCCUGCAUGAAGUUGGAAUCGCUAGUAAUCGCGGAUCAGCACGCCGCGGUGAAUACGUUCCCGGGCCUUGUACACACCGCCCGUCACAUCACGAAAGCCGGCUGUACUAGAAGUCGCUGCGCUAACCCGCAAGGGAGGCAAGCGCCUAAGGUAUGGUCGGUGAUUGGGGUGAAGUCGUAACAAGGUA